AGCUCCAAUAGCGUAUAUUAAAGUUGUUGCAGUUAAAAAGCUCGUAGUUGAACCUCUGUUCGAAUGUCUCCCUUUAGAGGUGUAGAUAACAUCGGACAUCCCCUUUGAAAAACUAGCACGGGCUUAAUUUGACUGGUUAGGGUUUCUUGGAAUUUACUUUGAAAAAAUUAGAGUGUUUCAAGCAGGCGAUUUGCAGGAAUACAUUAGCAUGGAAUAAUAGAAGAUGACCUCCGUGGCAUUUUAUUGGUAUAAUGACGGGAGGUAAUGAUUAACAGGGACAGUUGGGGGCAUUAGUAUUUAAUUGUCAGAGGUGAAAUUCAUUGAUUAAUUAAAGACUAACUUAUGCGAAAGCAUUUGCCAAGGAUGUUUUCA
rnacentral:rRNA from 1 species